UUAAGCGACUAAGCGUACACGGUGGAUGCCCUGGCAGUCAGAGGCGAUGAAGGACGUGCUAAUCUGCGAAAAGCGUCGGUAAGGUGAUAUGAACCGUUAUAACCGGCGAUGUCCGAAUGGGGAAACCCAGUGCAAUUCGUUGCACUAUCGUUAACUGAAUACAUAGGUUAACGAGGCGAACCGGGGGAACUGAAACAUCUAAGUACCCCGAGGAAAAGAAAUCAACCGAGAUUCCCCCAGUAGCGGCGAGCGAACGGGGAGCAGCCCAGAGUCUGAAUCAGCUUGUGUGUUAGUGGAACGGUCUGGAAAGUCCGACGGUACAGGGUGAUAGUCCCGUACACCAAAAUGCACAGGCUGUGAACUCGAAGAGUAGGGCGGGACACGUGGUAUCCUGUCUGAAUAUGGGGGGACCAUCCUCCAAGGCUAAAUACUCCUGACUGACCGAUAGUGAACCAGUACCGUGAGGGAAAGGCGAAAAGAACCCCGGCGAGGGGAGUGAAAAAGAACCUGAAACCGUGUACGUACAAGCAGUGGGAGCACCUUUAUGGUGUGACUGCGUACCUUUUGUAUAAUGGGUCAGCGACUUAUAUUCUGUAGCAAGGUUAACCGUAUAGGGGAGCCGCAGGGAAACCGAGUCUUAACUGGGCGUUAAGUUGCAGGGUAUAGACCCGAAACCCGGUGAUCUAGCCAUGGGCAGGUUGAAGGUUGGGUAACACUAACUGGAGGACCGAACCGACUAAUGUUGAAAAAUUAGCGGAUGACUUGUGGCUGGGGGUGAAAGGCCAAUCAAACCGGGAGAUAGCUGGUUCUCCCCGAAAGCUAUUUAGGUAGCGCCUCGUGAAUUCAUCUUCGGGGGUAGAGCACUGUUUCGGCUAGGGGGUCAUCCCGACUUACCAACCCGAUGCAAACUACGAAUACCGAAGAAUGUUAUCACGGGAGACACACGGCGGGUGCUAACGUCCGUCGUGAAGAGGGAAACAACCCAGACCGCCAGCUAAGGUCCCAAAGUCAUGGUUAAGUGGGAAACGAUGUGGGAAGGCACAGACAGCCAGGAUGUUGGCUUAGAAGCAGCCAUCAUUUAAAGAAAGCGUAAUAGCUCACUGGUCGAGUCGGCCUGCGCGGAAGAUGUAACGGGGCUAAACCAUGCACCGAAGCUGCGGCAGCGACACGAUGUGUUGUUGGGUAGGGGAGCGUUCUGUAAGCCUGCGAAGGUGACCUGUGAGGGUUGCUGGAGGUAUCAGAAGUGCGAAUGCUGACAUAAGUAACGAUAAAGCGGGUGAAAAGCCCGCUCGCCGGAAGACCAAGGGUUCCUGUCCAACGUUAAUCGGGGCAGGGUGAGUCGACCCCUAAGGCGAGGCCGAAAGGCGUAGUCGAUGGGAAACAGGUUAAUAUUCCUGUACUUGGUGUUACUGCGAAGGGGGGACGGAGAAGGCUAUGUUAGCCGGGCGACGGUUGUCCCGGUUUAAGCAUGUAGGCUGGUUAUCCAGGCAAAUCCGGAUAAUCAAGGCUGAGGUGUGAUGACGAGGCACUACGGUGCUGAAGUAACAAAUGCCCUGCUUCCAGGAAAAGCCUCUAAGCAUCAGGUAACAUCAAAUCGUACCCCAAACCGACACAGGUGGUCAGGUAGAGAAUACCAAGGCGCUUGAGAGAACUCGGGUGAAGGAACUAGGCAAAAUGGUGCCGUAACUUCGGGAGAAGGCACGCUGGUGUGUAGGUGAAGUCCCUGCGGAUGGAGCUGAGACCAGUCGAAGAUACCAGCUGGCUGCAACUGUUUAUUAAAAACACAGCACUGUGCAAACACGAAAGUGGACGUAUACGGUGUGACGCCUGCCCGGUGCCGGAAGGUUAAUUGAUGGGGUUAUCCGUAAGGAGAAGCUCUUGAUCGAAGCCCCGGUAAACGGCGGCCGUAACUAUAACGGUCCUAAGGUAGCGAAAUUCCUUGUCGGGUAAGUUCCGACCUGCACGAAUGGCGUAAUGAUGGCCAGGCUGUCUCCACCCGAGACUCAGUGAAAUUGAACUCGCUGUGAAGAUGCAGUGUACCCGCGGCAAGACGGAAAGACCCCGUGAACCUUUACUAUAGCUUGACACUGAACAUUGAGCCUUGAUGUGUAGGAUAGGUGGGAGGCUUUGAAGCGUGGACGCCAGUCUGCGUGGAGCCAACCUUGAAAUACCACCCUUUAAUGUUUGAUGUUCUAACGUUGGCCCCUUAUCGGGGUUGCGGACAGUGUCUGGUGGGUAGUUUGACUGGGGCGGUCUCCUCCCAAAGCGUAACGGAGGAGCACGAAGGUUAGCUAAUCCUGGUCGGACAUCAGGAGGUUAGUGCAAUGGCAUAAGCUAGCUUGACUGCGAGCGUGACGGCGCGAGCAGGUGCGAAAGCAGGUCAUAGUGAUCCGGUGGUUCUGAAUGGAAGGGCCAUCGCUCAACGGAUAAAAGGUACUCCGGGGAUAACAGGCUGAUACCGCCCAAGAGUUCAUAUCGACGGCGGUGUUUGGCACCUCGAUGUCGGCUCAUCACAUCCUGGGGCUGAAGUAGGUCCCAAGGGUAUGGCUGUUCGCCAUUUAAAGUGGUACGCGAGCUGGGUUUAGAACGUCGUGAGACAGUUCGGUCCCUAUCUGCCGUGGGCGCUGGAGAAUUGAGGGGGGCUGCUCCUAGUACGAGAGGACCGGAGUGGACGCAUCACUGGUGUUCGGGUUGUCAUGCCAAUGGCACUGCCCGGUAGCUAAAUGCGGAAGAGAUAAGUGCUGAAAGCAUCUAAGCACGAAACUUGCCCCGAGAUGAGUUCUCCCUGAGACUUUAAGUCUCCUGAAGGAACGUUGAAGACGACGACGUUGAUAGGCCGGGUGUGUAAGCGCAGCGAUGCGUUGAGCUAACCGGUACUAAUGAACCGUGAGGCUUAACCUU
rnacentral:rRNA from 2 species